CCUACGGGUGGCAGCAGUCGAGAAUCAUUCACAAUGGGGGAAACCCUGAUGGUGCGACGCCGCGUGGGGGAAUGAAGGUCUUCGGAUUGUAAACCCCUGUCAUGUGGGGGCAAAUUAAAAAGAUAGUACCACAAGAGGAAGAGACGGCUAACUCUGUGCCAGCAGCCUCGGUAAUACCGAGGUCUCAAGCGUGUUUCGGAAUCACUGGGCGUAAAGCGUGCGUAGGCUGUUUAGUAAGUCGGGUGUGAAUUGCGCGGGCUCAACCCGCGGCCGGCACAUGAUACUGGGAGACUAGAGUAAUGGAGAGGGAAGCGGAAUUCGCGGUGUAGCAGUGAAAUGCGUAGAGAUCGAGAGGAACACUCGUGGCGAAGGCGGGUUCCUGGACAUUAACUGACGCUGAGGCACGAAGGCCAGGGGAGCGAAAGGGAUUAGAUACCCGAGUAGUC
rnacentral:rRNA from 1 species